AGCGAACGCUGGCGGCAGGCCUAACACAUGCAAGUCGAACGGAUCCUUCGGGAUUAGUGGCGGACGGGUGAGUAACACGUGGGAACGUGCCUUUUGGUUCGGAACAACUCAGGGAAACUUGAGCUAAUACCGGAUGUGCCCUUCGGGGAAGGAUUAUCGCCAUUAGAGCGGCCCGCGUCUGAUUAGCUAGUUGGUAGGGUAAAGGCCUACCAAGGCUACGAUCAGUAGCUGGUCUGAGAGGAUGAUCAGCCACAUUGGGACUGAGACACGGCCCAAACUCCUACGGGAGGCAGCAGUGGGGAAUCUUGCGCAAUGGGCGGAAAGCCUGACGCAGCCAUGCCGCGUGAAUGAUGAAGGUCUUAGGAUUGUAAAAUUCUUUCACCGGGGAAGAUAAUGACUGUACCCGGAGAAGAAGCUCCGGCUAACUUCGUGCCAGCCGCCGCUGUAAU
rnacentral:rRNA from 1 species